ACACGGACCAAGGAGUCCAAUGCGCGUGCGAGUUCCCGGGACUUGAUCAGGCCCGUGGGCGCAAUGAAAGUGAAGGUCGACAUCCGUCGUCCGAGCUGGGAUCCUGCCCCCUGAGGGUGGGCGCACCAGCGGCCCGUCCGUGCCCGGUUUCGGGCGGACGGAGCAUGAGCACGUGCCUUGGGACCCGAAAGAUGGUGAACUAUGCCUGGGCAGGGUGAAGCCAGAGGAAACUCUGGUGGAGGCCCGUAGCGAUUCUGACGUGCAAUUCGAUCGUCAGACCUUGGUAUAGGGGCGAAAGACUAAUCGAACCAUCUAGUAGCUGUUUCCC
rnacentral:rRNA from 1 species